CAAGUAUUAAAGGUCCCGCCUGCCCAGUGAUACAUUCAACGGCCGCGGUAUUCUAACCGUGCAAAGGUAGCGUAAUCAUUUGUCUUCUAAAUAAAGACCAGUAUGAACGGCUAAAUGAGGACAGGCCUGUCUCUUACGACUAAUCAGUGAAACUGAUCUCCCAGUACAAAAGCUGGGAUAAAAACACCAGACGAGAAGACCCCGUGGAGCUUCAAACCAGCAGUUAAAAAGCACCCCCACACGACACCUAACAACGCGGUUUUAAGUUGGGGCGACUUCGGAACAAAACAAAACUUCCAAGCACAGAACCACAAGUUCUGACAGAGGCCCACUGGCCAAAGUCAAAACAAUACCAGACCCAGUACCACUGAUCAACGAACCAAGUUACCCCGGGGAUAACAGCGCCAUCUUCUUCGAGAGUCCAUAUCGACAAGAAGGUUUACGACCUCGAUGUUGGAUCAGGACACCCAAAUGGUGAAGCCGCUAUUAAAGGUUCGUUUGUUCAACGAUUAAUAGUCCUACGUGAUCUGAGUUCAGACCGGAGCAAUCCAGGUCGGUU
rnacentral:rRNA from 1 species